ACCCAGCUAACGAGUCCCGAAUAGGACGAAACGAGUGUUCUGGAU
rnacentral:hammerhead_ribozyme from 1 species